AACGAACGCUGGCGGCAUGCCUAACACAUGCAAGUCGAACGGGAUCCUAGCUUGCUAGGUGAGAGUGGCGGACGGGUGAGUAACACGUGGGAAUCUGCCUUUUGGUUCGGGAUAACCGCGGGAAACUGCGGCUAAUACCGAAUGCCCUCGAGAGAGGAAAGAUUUAUCGCCAGAAGAGGAGCCCGCGUCCGAUUAGGUAGUUGGUGGGGUAAAGGCCUACCAAGCCGACGAUCGGUAGCUGGUCUGAGAGGAUGAUCAGCCACACUGGGACUGAGAUACGGCCCAGACUCCUACGGGAGGCAGCAGUGGGGAAUAUUGGACAAUGGGGGCACCCUGAUCCAGCAAUGCCGCGUGAGUGAUGAAGGCCUUAGGGUUGUAAGCUCUUUUGCCAGGGAAGAUGAUGACUGUACCUGGAGAA
rnacentral:rRNA from 1 species